AUUGAACGCUGGCGGUAUGCUUAACACAUGCAAGUCGAACGGCAGCAUUUUCUAGCUUGCUAGAAAGAUGGCGAGUGGCGAACGGGUGAGUAACGCGUAGGAAUAUGCCUUAAAGAGGGGGACAACUUGGGGAAACUCAAGCUAAUACCGCAUAAUCUCUUCGGAGAAAAGCUAGGGACCUUCGGGCCUGGCGCUUUAAGAUUAGCCUGCGUACGAUUAGCUAGUUGGUAGGGUAAAGGCCUACCAAGGCGACGAUCGUUAGCUGGUCUGAGAGGAUGACCAGCCACACUGGAACUGAGACACGGUCCAGACUCCUACGGGAGGCAGCAGUGGGGAAUAUUGGACAAUGGGGGCAACCCUGAUCCAGCAAUACCGCGUGUGUGAAGAAGGCCUGAGGGUUGUAAAGCACUUUCAGUGGGGAGGAGGAUACUUAGGUUAAGAGCUAGAGUA
rnacentral:rRNA from 1 species